rnacentral:rRNA from 1 species
UAAAGCUAAUCUGCUCAGGGUUAGUCGGGACCUAAGCCGAGGCCGACAGGCGUAGGCGAUGGACAACAGGUUGAUAUUCCUGUACCACGUCCCCACCGCUAUUACCAAUGGCGGGACGGGGUAGGUUAAGCCAACCCAGGCGAUGGUCGACCUGGGGUAACCGCGUAGGGCGAGCCAUAGGGAAAUCCGUGGCUCACAUAGCCUGAGACGGGAUGCCGAGAGCGACUAGCUCGAAGUGGCUGUCACCAUGCCUCCUAGAAAAGCGUCUAGGGAGGUGGGACGUGCCCGUACCAAAACCGACACAGGUAGGCAGGUAGAGAAUACCAAGGCGAUCGGAAGAACCCUCGAAAAGGAACUCGGCAAAAUGGCCCCGUAACUUCGGGAGAAGGGGCGCCAUGGUAGGGUGAUAAUCCCUCGCGGAUUUGAGCCCGAAAUGGCCGCAGUGAAACGGCCCAACCGACUGUUUACCAAAAACACAGGUCUCUGCGAAGUCGAAAGACGACGUAUAGGGGCUGACGCCUGCCCGGUGCCGGAAGGUCACGAGGAGAGGUUAGUCUUCGGACGAAGCUUCGAAUCCAAGCCCCGGUAAACGGCGGCGGUAACUAUAACCGUCCUAAGGUAGCGAAAUUCCUUGUCGGGUAAUUGAAUUGCCCGAGCUGGAGGUGACUCCAGUGGACAAACCGGCUAAUAACGGGGAAGCCCUCCUCGUACGCGACGCUUUCAAGGACGUCGUCAUAGCGAAAGGGUAAUCCCGUGGGAAGUCGUCUUCCGUUGGAUGACGGAGGAUUGACCCCGUAACGACUGAUCGGCUCGACGCUCGUUCGCGACGGUCUGGGGAACGUGUCCCAGAACUGUCGUGAAGUCGUGACCGUGAGAUCGCACUCCGUCCGGCAGCAGCACGACAAUCGAAUCUGCCGUGACAAUCUAUGAGUGUGAUCAGACGCCGGCCCUUGCGUACAACAGUCGUGAGUUCCUCUCGGCGUACAUCUCCGGUUAUGUCGACGGAGAAGGAUGCUUCACCGUUUCUAUCUCGCCCCGGGCAACGUUGCUCGUUGGGUGGGAGGUGAGGCCAGGCUUCUCCGUCAGUCAAAACGGCGAUCGCGCCGAGGUGCUUCAUGCGAUCCAGGCGUAUUUCGGGUGCGGAAGCAUCCGCCCUGAUCGAAGCGAUAAGACCCUCAAGUGGGAAACCCGCCGUCUCGAGGACAUCCUCGGACGCGUGCUUCCUCAUUUCGAGCGGUACCCGCUCUUGUCAGGGAAACGAUACGACUUCGAUCGGUUCGCAUCGAUCUGCCGCGCGAUGGCAGAGGGUGCGCACCUGCGUCACGACGGUCUCAUCCGGAUCGUCGAGCUCGCUUCGGAGAUGAACCCGAGCGGGCGCCGGCGCUAUGCCUCUGAAGCGGUACUCGCCACGUUGAACGUCAAGGUGAAGGGAUAGUCUGCGCCUUCAGAAAUGAAGGAUUGACGCGAAGUUCCGACCUGCACGAAUGGCGUAACGAGUUGGGCGCUGUCUCUUCGAGGGAUCCGGUGAAAUUGUAGUCUCGGUGAAGAUGCCGAGUACCCGUGGUUGGACGGAAAGACCCCGUGAACCUUUACUACAGCUAGAUGUUGGAGUUCGGUGCACGUUGUCCAGGAUAGGUGGGAGGCUUUGAAGCCGGCACGCCAGUGUCGGUGGAGCCAAUCUUGGGAUACCACCCUUCAUGUUCUGGGCUUCUAACCCGCUGCCGUGAUCCGGGGCGGGAACAGCAUCUGGUGGGUAGUUUGACUGGGGCGGUCGCCUCCUAAAAUGUAACGGAGGCGCGCAAAGGUUCCCUCAGCACGGUUGGAAAUCGUGCGCAGAGCGUAAUGGCAUAAGGGAGCUUGACUGCGAGAGCGACAGCUCAAGCAGGUGCGAAAGCAGGCCAUAGUGAUCCGGCGGUAACAAGUGGAAGUGCCGUCGCUCAACGGAUAAAAGGUACUCCGGGGAUAACAGGCUUAUCCUUCCCAAGAGUCCACAUCGACGGAAGGGUUUGGCACCUCGAUGUCGGCUCGUCGCAUCCUGGGGCUGGAGUAGGUCCCAAGGGUUGGGCUGUUCGCCCAUUAAAGCGGUACGCGAGCUGGGUUCAGAACGUCGUGAGACAGUUCGGUCCCUAUCUGCCGUGGGCGUUGGAGAAUUGAGAGGAUUUGCCCCUAGUACGAGAGGACCGGGGUGAACGGACCUCUGGUGUAUCAGUCGUCCUGCCAAGGGCGCUGCUGAUUAGCUACGUCUGGAUGGGAUAACCGCUGAAAGCAUCUAAGCGGGAAGCCCACCUCAAGAUGAGAGCUCCCAUCUCCUAGAGAGAGUAAGAGCCGUGGAAGACCACCACGUUGAUAGGCGGGACGUGCACGCACAGCAAUGUGUUCAGCGGACCCGUACUAAUUGCUCGAGGUCUUGAUUUG